GAUGAACGCUAGCGGAGGCCUAACACAUGCAAGUCGAGGGGUAGAACACUUCGGUGUUUGAGACCGGCGCACGGGUGCGUAACGCGUAUGCAAUCUACCUUGUACAGGGGAAUAGCCCAGAGAAAUUUGGAUUAAUGCCCCAUAGUAUAUAACCUUCGCAUGUUGGUUAUAUUAAAGUUCCAACGGUACAAGAUGAGCAUGCGUCCCAUUAGUUAGUUGGUAAGGUAACGGCUUACCAAGACGAUGAUGGGUAGGGGUCCUGAGAGGGAGAUCCCCCACACUGGUACUGAGACACGGACCAGACUCCUACGGGAGGCAGCAGUGAGGAAUAUUGGUCAAUGGGCGCAAGCCUGAACCAGCCAUGCCGCGUGCAGGAAGACGGUCCUAUGGAUUGUAAACUGCUUUUAUACAGGAAGAAACAACUCUACGUGUAGAGUCUUGACGGUACUGUAGGAAUAAGGAUCGGCUAACUCCGUGCCAGCCGCCGCAGUAA
rnacentral:rRNA from 1 species